GGGGCUAUAUUAAAUGGAGUGGCCCCAUUCAAAGUCCUGGCACAUCAGCAAAGGUAUAAUAAAAACAAUUAUGGUAGACGAAAUUGUACUUAAAACUUUGUUAUUCUUUGCUAUUCUAUUCUUUAAAUUGUCUUUGUAUACAGGGAUGGAUCCAGCAUGAUCUGGUAGAGGGGGGGGGUGCUCUGGUGCCGACUUGUGUCGGUCACGUGUGCCGCCCGCCCAUCAACUACUGUAUUUGAAUUGUAAUUGUUGUUCCCAGUUCACUUAUCAUCAUGUUAUUACUCAAAUUACUGUAUCUCAUUUGGUCUUUUUUGCUUUAUCAUGAAAAAUAGCACCCCCCUCUGGCUAGGGCUAGGGGGGGUGUGCACCCCCCUCCCCAGUAAAUCCAUCCCUGUUUGUAUAUUGAGUGUAACACCUCUGUGUAACAUUAUUCUGCAGUGUAUAAACAUUCAUGCAUGAUUCAUAUGUCAUCUGUGACUCAAUUUCCAUUUUAGUGAAUGACAUACUUUUUUGUAGUUUCCUAGCAGAAAGAUCAGGCUGACUCCUUCAAAGAAGUCACCAGUGAAAAACCAUAAAAUAUGGACCUUUGAGGAAAAUAAAGCUUUGAUCUAGUUAUGGAAAAAUUUUGUCCAUAAUAAAAUAUAAUAAUAACAAUUUACAAUAUCCUAUAUAGUAAUCUAUGUCACCGUUAUAAUUGUAGGGAUCCAUGAUAAAAUAUGUAGGGAUCCAUAAUAAAAUAAAAACAAUUUACAAUAUACUUCUUGUGUGUGUUGGUGUUAUGUACUCAGGUGAAUAUGAUGUUUGUGAUGUUACUCUUAGUGUGCAUCCACACCGAGCCAAGCUCAGUUGGUAGAGCAUUGGACUAAUAUCCCAAAGAUCGCAGGUUCGAUUCCCACCGUGGUCAGGCAAACUUUUCAGCUUGCCCGAUGUGCAUGCACACUCAGAAUAACAUCACAAUUUACAAUGUAGGGAUCCAUAAUAAAAUAAAUAUGUAGGGACCCAUAAUAAAAUAAAAUAAUUUACAAUAUUCUAGUAAUCUAUGUCACUGUUAUAAUUGUUUCUUGGAUCAUCUCUGUCCCAUGGUCCACUUUUCACAAUCAGCAAUUAAUGCUGUACUGUAGAGUAAUAUCCACCAAGCACACAGAAUUUAUUGGUUGUAGAUCACAGUUACAUCCAGUUUGCCCUUAUAAAUUUAUUGGUUGUAGAUCACAGUUACAUCCAGUUUGCCCUUGUAAAUUUAUUGGUGACAGCACACUGUCCAACUCUUCAUUAACAGUAUCUGGAUCUCGAGGUUGAAUUGUUUGAGAAGGUGGGGGUAGCACAAUAUCGAUUCGAAAUCCCACAAAAUAACAUUCUCAAAGAUAAGAGAUUGUCCUGUUCCAUCUUGCCCGAGAUCACCGAGGUCAGAGAACUGCAACAUAUGAAAACAAU
rnacentral:lncRNA from 1 species